rnacentral:lncRNA from 1 species
AGAUUUUGCUGAGAUUUAAGCUAGAUUAUGGUAAUUUAUUAGUGUACAUUAUAGUGGGGAUAUUGUAUUGAGAUUUUGCUGAGAUUUAAGCUAGAUUAUGGUAAUUUAUUAGUGUACAUUAUAGCGGGGAUAAUGUAUAUUGAGAUUUUGCUGAGAUUUAAGCUAGAUU